AGUGAACGCUGGCGGUAGGCCUAACACAUGCAAGUCGAACGGCAGCACAGGAGAUCUUGCUCUCUGGGUGGCGAGUGGCGGACGGGUGAGGAAUACAUCGGAAUCUGCCCAGUCGUGGGUGAUAACGUAGGGAAACUUACGCUACUACCGCAUACGACCUGCUGGUGAGAGAGGGGGAGCGCAAUACCUCUCGCGAGUGGAUGCGCCGAUGUCGGAUGCGCUAGUUGGCGGGGUAAUGGCCCACCAAGGCGACGAUCCGUAGCUGGUCUGAGAGGAUGAUCAGCCACACUGGAACUGAGACACGGUCCAGACUCCUACGGGAGGCAGCAGUGGGGAAUAUUGGACAAUGGGCGCAAGCCUGAUCCAGCCAUACCGCGUGGGUGAAGAAGGCCUUCGGGUUGUAAAGCCCUUUUGUUGGGAAAGAAAUCUUUCAGGCUAAUACCCUGGGAGGAUGACGGUACCCAAAGAAUAAGCACCGGCUAACUUCGUG
rnacentral:rRNA from 1 species